rnacentral:rRNA from 1 species
GACGAACGCUGGCGGCGUGCUUAACACAUGCAAGUCGAACGGAAAGGCCCUGCUUUUGUGGGGUGCUCGAGUGGCGAACGGGUGAGUAACACGUGUGUAACCUGCCCUUGACUUUGGGAUAACUUCAGGAAACUGGGGCUAAUACCGGAUAGGAGCUCCUGCUGCAUGGUGGGGGUUGGAAAGUUUCGGCGGUUGGGGAUGGACUCGCGGCUUAUCAGCUUGUUGGUGGGGUAGUGGCUUACCAAGGCUUUGACGGGUAGCCGGCCUGAGAGGGUGACCGGCCACAUUAGGACUGAGAUACGGCCCAGACUCCUACGGGAGGCAGCGGUGGGGAGUAUUGCACAAUGGGCGCAAGCCUGAUGCAGCAACGCCGCGUGCGGGAUGACGGCCUUCGGGGUGUAAACCGCUUUCGCCUGUGACGAAGCGUGAGUGACGGUAAUGGGUAAAGAAGCACCGGCUAACUACGUG